rnacentral:rRNA from 1 species
UACGUAGGGUGCAAGCGUUAAUCGGAAUUACUGGGCGUAAAGCGUGCGCAGGCGGUUCUGCAAGACAGAUGUGAAAUCCCCGGGCUUAACCUGGGAACUGCAUUUGUGACUGCGGAGCUGGAGUGCGGCAGAGGGGGAUGGAAUUCCGCGUGUAGCAGUGAAAUGCGUAGAUAUGCGGAGGAACACCGAUGGCGAAGGCAAUCCCCUGGGCCUGCACUGACGCUCAUGCACGAAAGCGUGGGGAGCAAACAGGAUUAGAUACCCUGGUAGUCCACGCCCUAAACGAUGUCAACUGGUUGUUGGAGGGGUUCCCUUUCAGUAACGAAGCUAACGCGUGAAGUUGACCGCCUGGGGAGUACGGCCGCAAGGUUGAA